rnacentral:rRNA from 1 species
CUACGGGGCGCACCAGUGGGGAAUAUUGGACAAUGGGGGAAACCCUGAUCCAGCAAUGCCGCGUGUGUGAAGAAGGCCUGCGGGUUGUAAAGCACUUUCGGUUGGGAGGACUGCUUCUAGCACUAAUAUUGUUGGAAGUUGACGUUACCUUCAGAAGAAGCACCGGCUAACUCCGUGCCAGCAGCCGCGGUAAUACGGAGGGUGCAAGCUUUAAUCGGAAUUACUGGGCGUAAAGCGCGCGUAGGCGGCUAGAUCAGUCGGGUGUGAAAGCCCCGGGCUUAACCUGGGAACUGCAUCCGAUACUGUCUAGCUUGAGUACAGGAGAGGAGAGUGGAAUUCCACAUGUAGCGGUGAGAUGCGUAGAUAUGUGGAGGAACACCAAUGGCGAAGGCAGCUCUCUGGCCUGAUACUGACGCUGAGGUGCGAAAGCGUGGGGAGCAAACAGGAUUAGAUACCCCUGUAGUC